ACGGCAUCAUUAGACGAACGGGUGCCCUCCGGCGAUCCAUGGAGGUUUUUGCCCUUUGCAAGGUGCCCAGAUAGACGCCUACACACGAUUGGACGAGGGGCAUCAAGCGUCAUGUACGUUUCUGCCUCGUCCAAAUUUCAUAUGGCUAUAUCA
rnacentral:snoRNA from 1 species